AAUGGAAUCGAGUAAUAUUUAAAUAAAUACUUUUAAUUUUAUGCAAAUUUCAUACAAAACAAAUAAGUUAAGGACUAUACGUGUCGUGCGAUAAAAUCGCGAAUACAUGUUCUCAGGAAUAAUGAAUUCGAUGGCUAAUACUGAUUGUGAGUUUUGACUAGUGACACAAACUUAGCAGUGAUUCAAAGACUUAUAUAUUAAACAUUAAUCAAGCCAGAUACAUUGUCGGCGUAGUCGGACAACUUUGAAUAACUUAAGUUCCAACGAUUAUGGCACAUCGUGGCGAUGAACGUGUCGAAAUUACGAUAUAGAUGCAGCGCGAUAUUACAUGGAAUCAUAGUGUGUGCGCGCGCGCGAUGAAGAAUUAGUGAUUCCAUUUUGGACGUGUCCUGGACGAAACCCUGACGAGAAUAGCGUCUCCUUUGAUGAAAAAGCUCGUAUCAAAGGCUGUGACACGUGAAAACACCCAUCCGUGGCUGGUACGACGUUAUUUUGUUAUCAGUCCGAGUAAUCAAGGGAGAAUCGAUUUCCUUCUCGGCAACGUUCAACCGUUGUUCCUUGAAUUCCAAAACGUCCCACGCGAAUCCGCACGGCGCAUAUCGCGCGCCAAUAGUGUUUUCCGUCGAGCAAUGCCCUAUCGGGAAACUUGGCUGAAAAGCCUUUUCUUCCAGUUCACGGCACCCAUCUCACGGAAGAGUGGAAACUUCGUUUCCGUCCAUUCGUCGGCUCGUUUCUUACGAAAGCGGACAAAGAGGAUGAAGCAUAUACAGAGGAAGAAGGAGAGACAAUUUUCUCUGUGCAACAAUUUUCCCUUCUGCGAGUGUUUCACUUUCUGCCCCACUGGAGGACGCCUCUGUGACCGUGCGAACAUCGGCUGAAGGAACCGUUGCUGCCCUUCGAACUGUUGCUCCCAGAGCUCGACACACUUUCGGACCUCUUGAUGGUCCUCUUCGUCGGGUCCAGUAACCGGUCCAGCAUCUGACGGAUCGUGCUGUGUUUGCGGUUGAACGGAUUGGUGUACAUCUUCGAACGCUUCGUAGUCUGAUCUACUUUCCAAAAUUUCUUUUCGAAACUACCCAACCACUUUUCCACACUUAGCCUCAACGGAAAGUUUCACGAUGAACUGAUAUUACUCGGCUCGUGGCGUCUAACUGUCGCGAGUGCGCAUAGAAAUAAGACUUGCACCAGUUGCGUCACGCGUAGCGCGCGGUUCGCUCGCUUUACCAAUGAUUGCGUAGCGUCACUCGGGCAACGCUUUAUAUACCCGAGACGCUCGGCGACCUUCGUUCGGAGUCGGGUAACGUCGAUUCGCGCCGACAAAGCGUGCCAAUGGUCCCACAGGUGCAUGAUGCACCGUGCAUCGCCUGUCAGUGUUCAGCGCAGUUAUAGCGCAGGCUUCUAAAUUUCACGUUAAUAACCCUGUGUUUCUAGUUUCUACUGGGUGUACAGAAACUUAACCUUUUCGAUGUUACGCGUUUGUACAUAUAUGCAGUGCAAAAGUUUCCGUACAGAGAGAUUUGUCACCUCAUAUUCCGAAACUGAUAUUUAAAUAUUAAUGGAUAACACUUACAAAUGGAUCAUUUUCUGACUCGACUAUAGCUAAGAACCAGAACUGCGCCAGUGUUUUUGUUGCGAAUCAAUAGAAUAUCAAAUAUCAAGGUCUUAUAAACAGCGUAAUUUUCUUCAUCCACGCACUUGGGCCAAUAUAUCCGUUAAAAAAAUUAAUAUUUCCUUAUGGAAAAAGGAUUCUCGUUAAAAUAUAUCCAAAUGAAUAUGCAAUGUUUGAAAAAAGUAUUAUUAAUAGCGGUCGAGUAAAAAUUUCAGUAAAUAACGAAUCCUUUCCAAAGUAGAAAACUCUUUUAAAGAACGCAACACCCGGUGAUUAUUUAUGUAGCAAAAAAUUUAUAGUGUCGUUUUAAGCUUAGUUCGCAAAUGAAACACUGGCAAAGGACUUAUGCAUGCGACUUCGGAGGAUUUUGAAAUUCAACUGAAUGGAAAUGUCAUCUCGAGUUCAAGGAAUAGUGAAUUCCUUCUAUGUAAAAUUCUUUAAAUGGAAAAAAAAAACUAAACGAACAAAAGAACGGUGAAAAGUAUUAAUCGUUUAAAUUGUUUGAAUAAUCGCCCUAAAACAAUAGUUGUCAAACAACUCUCAAAUUUUACCCUUCCAAGGAACGUGUUGUGUUAGCGUGCAAAAAAUUAAUUCCACCUAAUUGAACUUAUGACGUUCGUGAAACAAUGGCUGCCGACCUUAACAUCUCCAGGUAUUUGACGUCAUCCGUAACACGUGCUUUCUACAAUGGACCAAGUAAACAUAAGAUAAAGUCACUUUACAUCAUUAACCCAAGAUUCUUCGAAGCGUAGAUGCCAUUUAACCGUAAAUAAAGAUUAUCAUUACUUUUUAUAAAGCUGGGGCGAAUGACGCUUGAAAUGUGCGUGGCACCUUCCUUUUAGUCUGUUUCCGGAGAUAAACAAGAGACAAAAAAAAAAAAGAGGAAUCCCAACGAGCAGUUCCAACAUCAUGAUCAUUUGAGAAGAAGGGGAUGUACCGAGGAUAAAAAAAACCAUAAACUGAAAGUGGUUUACUUGAGUUCCUUUCACACGAAUCGUUGCUCAUGGUACUGAUGCUACAAGGCCGUCUGUACCUUCAAUAUGGAUUAACAUAAUUUUAUAAAAACUGACAAACAUAUUAUCCUUAGUAUGUACAUUAAUUUCAAUCAAAGGGUUUUUCACUAGUGAUUUUAGGUCUUAUUCAUUAAUAGAAAACAAACGAUACCUAUGGAUUUUAUCCGAUUGUUUUAUUUUAAAUUAAAAAUUAAUUAUACACCACGAAAAAUAGUAAAGAAAUAUUUGACAAUAAAGAGCUAGCAUAGAUUCAGCAACAGAGCAAUACAAACGGUGGGCAAAAUUUGCGGACUUUCUUUCUGUUCGAAGCACUUAAAAUUCUAGUGAAAGUUGAACAGACGAAAGUUUUUGAGGAAAGUUCUUCCGAUCAUCAUGCAUAUUCGUAUUAAUCAAUGAAACGAUAACAAUUUUGGAAACAUUCUUCCGUUGGCCUCGUUUGAUACAACUUUACGAAUAAUCAAGUGUUGUUGCUGCAACUUUGAACUUAAACUCGUUAAUCGAAUAUUUAGAUUCGCCAUAUAUUUCUCAUACUUUUAUUUUAAUAAAAAUUCCAGAAAGAAAUAGAAAGAAAUUUUAAAGAAGUGUGUAUCUUUAUUUAGAAAACAAGCAAACACUAUACGGUGCGAUUUCGAUGAUUCGUUGAUAUUAUUUGACCUUAAAAAUGAACAUUUUUACAUGUUUGUCAUGGAUUUAAGAAAAGUCAAAUCGAAAGAUAUAUCAUUUGCCUUGAAUGUAAAAUUUCAAUUAAUGAAAAUGUUCUGUUCGAUUCUUUUCCGAUAUAAAUAUGUUUUAAAUAUUCAAAUUAAAUGUUACAUUGGCUUGCUGUUAUUUCGUAAGAAUGGUGCAUAAUAAAUUAAACUCACUCGUACUCGUUCAAUGAAAAUAUGCUAAAUAAAUUCAGUUCCGCGCCUCGUACGAAUUUUAUUCAAAUAGACGUGUAAAUCAGUUACUAUAGGAAAAGGGAAAGAUUUAAAAUUUCUUAAAGAUACACAUUAUAAGUAUAUUCGCCUUUCGAUGAUAACUAAUUGUCUUUUCUUUAAGAAAGUUAUCGACCCAGUUUGUAAACAAUUAUUUAGCGACUUGGGAAUAAUAUAAUAGAACGAUGUGUAUAUUCUGCAGUUUUCAAAUGUAUGACUUGCAAAUACAUAUUGACAAAUAACUAUUACUUUAUUUAUAUAAUUUAUACAUAUAGAUGUAGAUAUACAUGUAUAUUCCUUGCUAUUUUAUCGAUUCUAAACUUUAGAGAUGCUUUAAUGAUUUGGAAAGAAUAAGAUAGGAAGAUAUUCAUGUAUGUAAAUAAAUAAUGUAUAAAUACAUAAUAUAUAAAUACACGUAUAUAAAUAAGUAAUCAUUGUAAGGUUUGUUCAUCAUUUUUUUUAAGUAUAAUUUACAAGUACAUAUUGACAAAUAACUUUUGUUUUAUUUGUUAUAAUUCAUCUAGAUCGAGAUGUAACAAAAAUAAAGUUGAACCGUAUAAUAAAGUUAAUUUCCAUAACAUAUUAAUAU